rnacentral:rRNA from 1 species
GACGAACGCUGGCGGCGUGCUUAACACAUGCAAGUCGAACGGAAAGGCCCUGCUUUUGUGGGGUGCUCGAGUGGCGAACGGGUGAGUAACACGUGAGUAACCUGCCUUGACUUUGGGAUAACUUCAGGAAACUGGGGCUAAUACCGGCUAGGAGCUUCUGCUGCCUGGUGGGGGUUGGAAAGUUUCGGCGGUUGGGGUUGGACUCGAGGCUUAUCAGCUUGUUGGUGGGGUAGUGGCUUACCAAGGCUUUGACGGGUAGCCGGCCUGAGAGGGUGACCGGGCACAGUGGGACUGGGGUACGGCCCAGACUCCUACGGGAGGCAGCAGUGGGGAAUAGUGCACAAUGGGCGGAAGCCGGAUGCAGCAACGCCGCGUGCGGGAAGACGGCCUUCGGGUUGUAAACCGCUUUCGCCUGUGACGAAGCGUGAGUGACGGUAAUGGGUAAAGAAGCACCGGCUAACUACGU